UACGGGGGGGGCAAGCGUUGUUCGGAAUUACUGGGCGUAAAGGGCGCGUAGGCGGCCAUCUGUGUCAGGCGUGAAAGCCCCGGGCUCAACCUGGGAACUGCGUCUGGGACGGGGUGGCUAGAGAUCGGGAGAGGAGCGUGGAAUUCCCAGUGUAGAGGUGAAAUUCGUAGAUAUUGGGAAGAACACCGGUGGCGAAGGCGGCGCUCUGGACCGAGACUGACGCUGAGGCGCGAAAGCGUGGGGAGCAAACAGG
rnacentral:rRNA from 1 species